AGCAGUGAUGUGGCUGAAAUGGUGGUGUUGGAGCUGCAGAAACAGGUGGAGGAUGUGAAAGGUUACAGACAAAGACAAUGAUGCUGGAAAAAAAAAGAGCACACCAUAAAAAAGAAUUCCCAGUUUCUUUUGUUUCAUUGUUGGAGGAGAAAAAAAGGCCAAGAAGUUUUCUGUCUUCAAAACCUAAACCUUCUGUUCCAAACUGAGAACCUACUGCUGGACACGUUUCUUAGUCUUCCUGAGUAACAAACACCAAGCUGCAAGAACCUAAUGACCUGCAAAAUGAGGCAUCUAAAUUUCUGCACAUCUUUGAGUGAGACAAAUUCUGUAACUGCAUCACCCAGGCUUGAAACAGCCCAUGGAAUCCUUUUGAAAUGCAGUAGGAAGCCCUAGAAGCUAGUGAGCUCUCUAAUAUUCUGUGUUUUGCACUCAAACUUGUUCUCCAGGCAGACACCGUUUACUGUUUGUCAGUCUUCCAAUAGCUCAUGAGGUCUUAAAUGUGCUGAAACUGCUUCAGGCAAUUCUUUACAUACCCUAUACUGGGACUUCUUAGAUCCAGAUACUUCGAAAGCAUCGUCCUGUUUGAGCCUGAAAUCCUGCGUCUCUGUAUUUGGUAGCAACUAUGAUAGCCCUCUGCAUGCUGUUAACCUCAAAAGAUCAACAAGAGCAAAAUGCUAUGAAGGAUGAGUCUCCUUGGCAUUAUAUGUCAAUAAUUGUCCCCUUCCGUUGGGUAGAAAGCCAACGCUUUUCUUACUCUUUCCAGUAAAUGCAUCCAUGCUACUUUUAAUUUCCUUUAUUGGCUGAUGUGAUACACGAUGUGACAUUGUGUAAGAAGUCCUGCUUCAAAGCCCCAACAUGUGGACUGACUGCAUGCUGCCACAGACCCUAUGCCAUUGGGAAGAGGCACAGGUCUUCACAGUGACCAAUCAUCAGUGACAUCUUGGCUAGCCAAGUGUUCCAGGCCUGUCUGGGGGUGCAGAUACCACAGCAACCAGCUCUGCUGCAGAUCUGAGAUAGACAGUGGCUUCCAAAGCAGGACUCUGUUCUUAUGACAGAUACCCAAAGGCAGAUUUUCUUUUAAUUAAGUAUGAAAAUCUAUAAUGCAGUCAGCAUGGUGCCUCUUGGUAUGUUUAUUUUUAUACCCCACUUAUUUGCUUUUGUUCUCAACAUAUGCUUUCAUUACGAGGGAGACUUUUAUACUGACCAUCUGCACACUAUGAAUGAAUUUCAGUUAAAACUGGAGGAGUGGGGAGCAGGACAGAGGUCAGUUGUCUUUUUUAAUAUCUGUGUGCAAAUGGGUGUCAUCCACAGCUGUGGAAUAAACACAAUCUAGACUUUUUCUU
rnacentral:lncRNA from 7 species